GGCCUGGUUGGGUGGUCUUGCCGCAAGGUAAGCACUGCUCCGAUCGGGUCUUUCCUUCUGGGGAACCAGCGUGCUCUUAAUUGGGUGCGUUGGGGAUCCAGGACUUUUACUUUGAAAAAAUUAGAGUGUUCAAAACAAGCUUAUGCUUGAAUACAUUAGCAUGGAAUAACGGAAUAGGAC
rnacentral:rRNA from 1 species